rnacentral:rRNA from 15 species
AACUCUUAGCGGUGGAUCACUCGGCUCGUGCGUCGAUGAAAGAACGCAGCUAGCUGCGAGAACUAAUGUGAAUUGCAGGACACAUUGAUCAUCGACACUUCGAACGCACCUUGCCGGGCCCCGGGUUCCGUCCCGGGGCUACCGCCUGUCUGGAGGGUCG